AAAAUGAGUAAACAUUAUGAUAUAUACAUUCUAUUUCACUAAAGUUGUUUUGUGUGUGUUUGUGUUUUUAGGAGCCCAUCAGGAGUAUGACAGCAAAGUCGGUGCAGUUCAGGCUUUGACUUCUCCUUUUAUCACCAAGAUUUUUUGGCAGAACAUAGAAGGAAUUCCAGCCCACAGGGAGUUGCCCCAGAAAUUAGAUUCAAGAGACAUGUUCAAACCAAUCUGCAGCAUAUAAAUUUAUAUGAAGAAACUGAUCUUCCCAGAAACAAGGAGGUUCAUGUCAUCCCACCAGGGCUUCGACUUGCUGCAUUGAAUAACCAGGAACUGACUUUCUGGUUAUGGCUGGAUAAAAGCACUGGGUGAUGGAUGGGGUCAGGGAUGUUUCACAACAGCCACUCAGGAGACCUGGGAACAAAACCAGUCACUUACCGGAGAGGCCGUUCAUGGACCAGUUGCUCAUGUUCCCAGAUCCAGUGACCCUUCUCCUGGAUGUUGCUGAUUUUUAGAAGAAAAGCCAGUGGGCUCCCAGACAAAGUUAAAAAAGGCUCUCGUUUAAUCUGGAGGAACAUACACAGGCUGGUUGGAUGCAAGUCUGCGUGUCGGGAUUCAGAGAACAGACUCAGGCAGUUGUUGAUUACAUCAAAUGCGUCACUGGGCCUGCGGAGGAGGGAGGAAGAAAGGCUCUGCCUGAGUUCUCACGAAGGGCUCCGGAUUGCCCCUGCACAUUGCAGAACUCCCAGGGUCUCUGUCCUUGGGAAGAGAAACACACAAGACACCUGAGGAUGGGGGUGAAGUGGGAAGGAGAGAGGCCAAGACAGAAUCAGAGAGAGCGAGAGAGUGCCAGCCAUCCCUGGGCAGAGCCCCCGCUGGCCACACACAGUGGGAACGGGCACGUCUCUCAAGCCCCCACACAAGAAUCCACUUUUGAGCCAUGCAAGGCAUAGCCUUUUAUCCUUGUUCAC
rnacentral:lncRNA from 1 species